rnacentral:tmRNA from 1 species
GGGGGCGACCGGUUUCGACGGGGAUAUUGACGCCAUCGUUGCAUGUCGAGAUCUCGGGAACUCGUAAAAUUCCGGGAAAAACGCAACUGCCAAC